rnacentral:rRNA from 1 species
AAUCAACGCUGGCGGCAGGCCUAACACAUGCAAGUCGAACGCUGUAGCAAUACAGAGUGGCAGACGGGUGAGUAACACGUGGGAAUCUUCCUAUCGUUCCGGACUUGCCCAGGGAAACUUGGGGUAAUACGGCAAACGCCCUUCGGGGGAAAGGUUUAUCGCCGAUGGAUGAGCCCGCGUCUGAUUAGCUGGUUGGUGAGGCGAUGGCUCACCAAGGCGACGAUCAGUAGCUGGUCGGAGAGGAUGACCCGCCACCCUGGGACUGAGACACGGCCCAGACUCCUACGGGAGGCAGCAGAGGGGAAUAUAGGACAAGGGGCGCAAGCCUGAUCCAGCCAGGCGGGGUGAGUGACGAAGGUCUUCGGAUUGUAAAGCUAUUUGGGCGGGGACGAUAAUGACGGUACCCGCAGAAUAAGCCCCGGCUAACUUCGUGCCAGCAGCCGCCGUAACAC